ensembl:lncRNA
GAGGGCGGGGCGGUGGUGGGGCUGAGGCGGGGAGGGCGGUGGCGGUGGGGGCUGAGGCGGCUUCUGGAAGGUUCUGCAGGCUGCUGCCGGCCAGCGUCUGUGGCGCUGCUCUAGGCAGCUCCUGUGGCGUCCUGGCGCUGGUGCUGACCCUUGCCCAGGAACUUCUGAGGCUCCCUUUACUCCCUGCUGUCUGUGACAUAGAAGCUGCAGAGGAAACUGUCUCAUAAGGGUUUUGUAGGAGCAGAGCCAACGAUUCUUACCCAGGGCCUACGGAAAUCAAAGUCAAAGGAAACUGCUGCCUAGAUAUCAAGGAGUGUGAAUCUGAGACCCAGAUGAUAAGUACAGUGCAUGGAUUGAGUUGAUGAAAAAUGUUUCUCUUUUUUUUCCUACCUUUACAAGUUGAUGACUUCAGUUUCAAGAUUUUUCCUUGUUACAUCAAUAAUUCCUUGGAUUAAAGAAAGAAAGCAACAGCUUCAUGAAGAAGUUGGAGAUUUAUUUUCAUCUAGAAUUAGUGACGUGUCCUUGCAAGCUAGCAGCAUAUUGAUUUUGGAGC